GAUGAACGCUGGCGGCGUGCCUAAUACAUGCAAGUCGAGCGAAUGGAUUAAGAGCUUGCUCUUAUGAAGUUAGCGGCGGACGGGUGAGUAACACGCGGGUAACCCGCCCAUAAGACUGGGAUAACUCCGGGAAACCGGGGCUAAUACCGGAUAACAUUUUGAACCGCAUGGUUCGAACUUGAAAGGCGGCUUCGGCUGUCACUUAUGGAUGGACCCGCGUCGCAUUAGCUAGUUGGUGAGGUACCGGAUCACCAAGGCAACGAUGCGUAGCCGACCUGAGAGGGUGAUCGGCCACACGGGGGCUGAGACACGGACCAGACUCCUACGGGAGGCAGCAGUAGGGAAUCUUCCGCAAGGGACGAAAGUCUGACGGAGCAACGCCGCGUGAGUGAUGAAGGCUUUCGGGUCGUAAAACUCUGUUGUUAGGGAAGAACAAGUGCUAGUUGAAUAAGCUGGCACCUUGACGGUACCUAACCAGAAAGCCACGGCUAACUACGUGCCAGCCGCCGCAGUAA
rnacentral:rRNA from 1 species